CUCUUUGCAACGAUAAAGUGAAAAAAAGAAAGAGUAAGGCUCUAUAGAAAAUAAAUACAACAUAGAGAUGGAAGGUAAAUGAUUCUGAAUGAGGUUUAUCUACACUGGCAGUCAUACCCAGGGGAGCAAAGAGCUCCCCAGAAACCUGACUCCAUCAUGGUUGAUCUUCCCACGGAGCUUCGAACAAAAUGAUGUUUUUCAGGUUCCCCAAGGCUUCUCCUGGAGGUUUCACUGAGAAGGAUGGCCCCAGUUCUCCUCUGACUCAUAGGGCUGAGGGCCCCUGGCCCAGCUCUCUCUGUUUCUUCUAGGGCUUUUCACACUCCUGCCCAAGCUCCAAGCCACAGUUUCAGCAGGGAGCCUCCUUCCCUCCCUCUCCCGCCCCCAGGUUUCAGCUCCAGUCAGUUGUUCCCUCUCAGUGGAAGGUCCGGGGGUGAGGUGUGGGGAAACCUUGGGGUUUCCUCUCUUUGCUAGAGCAGAGCUUCUUUAGGUAUCUGAGCUCCUCCUGUGGCUGCUCCACUUGGGAAACCAGACGGGCUUUUCCUUCUGUUUGCUCUUACAGCAGCAGGGAUUCACCUGUGAGAUCUGGGGUGUUGGGGAGAGCUAGAAUGAUGGCUCCCGGGGCACAGGAGCCCUCCCCAGCUCAAUCUUCUCCUUGUCUUCAUUGGGCUCUCAUUAACUGGGAGAUGUAGGAGAUGACUUUCUGGUAAAAGGGACGGAAGAGGGGAAUAUUUAAAAAUGAAGAUGAUACAAAGGAUAGAUCAAUAAAGAUUUCAAAAGUCUGUUGACUUUCUGAAUCGAUCUGGUUGUUUGGCUGGAAGAGUUGCUGUUUGCUCAGCAAGAACAUGGCAUCAGAUACUGAAACAGAUACAGAGGUUAUUUUCAAACUGCAUGUAGACCCCCAAAUGGAACAUCUUCUUUUUCAAUGGAACCCCUUCUAAAACCCGCUCGACAAACUGAGUUUCACUUUUAGCAAGCUUCUGGCCCUGGGUGAAGGCAGAAACUAGCAGCCAUUAGGGCCCCCUCAGUACAAAUCCUGCUCAAAGGUAAGAUUAUUUGUUGUCUACAUCUCUCCUUCCUUCCUUCCCCAAUUUCCAUGAUUACUUAAUGUCUUUGCCUUCCAUCUCUUCUUUUCCCAUGAUCUUUCUCUUUCUCUCCUCCUAAAUCCUUCCCUUUUUUCAUCUUAACAUUUUUAAGGGCCUAUUAUGUGCCAGAUACCGUAUAAGGCAUUGGAGCAUUAAGACAAAGAUAACACACAGUCUCUGUUCUCUCAAAGUUGACAUUCUACUGAAGCACAGAUGCAAAAUCCUUAAAAGUUAGGUCUUUUUCCUGCAUAUAAUCUAGGCAGCAUCCUGUAAGCAGUCAAUGUUUACCGUGAUGGGACAUUUGGUUCAAGAGGCCCAAUUUUCCCUUUUUCAAUUUGCCAUCAAAGACAAACGGAUGAAUGAACAAACAAAUAAAGGCUUCCCUCCAGGGUACAUAUGUGAAGAUUCCUUCAUGGCGAGUUGAUUCAGAUGACCCCAGAGGUCCCUCCCCACAAUAUGGAAAGGUUGGGCUAAAUGACAUUUAAGGUACUUUUUAACUCAGGAGCCAUAAUCCUAAACCUCCCCUAGACUCAUUCAAUUAUUCCCCAAUGGGCUACACUCUUCUGGGCUUCUCCAAUGCCUUUUCUCUCCAGUCCCUACCCCAGCCACCUGUUUUUCUGCUUCCUUUUACAGCUUGUCUUCCCCAUUAGAAUGUAACCUCCUUGAGACUUAAAAGAACUGAUGCUGAGUGAAAUGAGCAGAACCAGGAGAUCAUUGUGCACGGCAACAGCAAGAUUGUACGAUGAUCAGUUCUGAUGGACGGGGAUCUCUUCAACAGGGAGAUGGAUCCAGGCCAGUUCCAAUGAUCUUGGGAGGAAGAGCCAUCUACGCCCAGAGGACUGUGGGAACUGAGUGUGGGUCACAGCGUAGCAUUUUCACCCUUUUUGUUGUUUGCUCGCGUUUUAUUUUCUUUCUCAUUUUUUUUUUCUUUUUGAUCUGAUUUUUCUUGUGCAGCAAGAUAAUCCUAUAAACAUGUGUGCAUAUAUUGGAUUUAACAUCUAUCUCUACCCUGUUUAACAUAUAUCGGACUACUUGCCAUCUAGGGGAGGGGGCGGGAGAAGGGGGGGAAUUGGAACACAGGGUUUUGUGAGCGCUAAUGUUGAAGAAUUGUUCACGCAUGUUUUGAAAAAUAAAAAGCUUUAAUAAAAA